UCAUCAGGCUCUCUUCAUUCUCUUCACUCUUUCUUUGAUGAAGAAAAACAAAGGGCUCAGAACUCAGAAGAAUAAGACAAGACCAUCCCUCCAAAAUCAACCAGCUUUUUAUUAUUUUACUCCUAAUAUGACCUGUCUAUCAUGUGAUUGUCCACAUGUGCAUGCACAUAUUUAUGUAGCAGUAUUUCCUUCCCUUAUUUUAUAUAAGCAAGUCUCCUCCAAGUCUCCAACCACUAUUUGAUGUCGUUAGGUGGGCUAGGCAGUAGGAAUUAUAUACACUAGAAUCACAAGAUUGAGAGCUUGCGAGUGCUUUUAUUUUGCAGCCUUGUGGCUAGGUAGCUAGGCAUUCAUUGUUGAAUCAUGAAGAGAGAGAAGCGAGAGAAAGCCGAGAGAAUCAGAUUAAUUUCUUGAAGGAGGAAAAGGGAAAGAGGGCGUCUGGAAUGAAGUUUGAUCCAAGAUCCUUUAAUUUGAUGACUUACUACUACUACACUUAUUCUUAUUAAGGAUCUCCUUUCUUUUCUUUGAUCCCAACUCAGGUUAGAGUUUGUGAUAAAAGGCUCAACGAUCUGUAGUGAUCUCGGACCAGGCUUCAUUCCUCACGCCCAACUUUUCCAAGUUUCCAUCAGCCCCACACCCCUCAGGUCAGGAACAACCCUCUUAUACUGCUGGUACAUCACUGCAGAUUUUGGGAUGAGAUGCUAUGCAAAUGACAACACGAAGAAUUAGGCUAGUACCCUAAUUUUGCAAGGACAGAUUUGUUCUUCUUAUGUGUCAAUGACUGUAAUAUUUGAUGGCGAGUUUGCAGAUUUAUGCAGGUAUUUAGUCAGUAGUCGGGCAUCGUUUUUAACCUAUACCAGUGCGCAGCUAUGAAUCAUCAGUGUUAACUAUGUAUGUUGCCUUCGUAUUUUGCUAAUCUCCAGUUUGUUAAUAACUAUAUAGGAAUUUUGCAUCUUUAUGAGGAACUAUAUCAUGAGAUUAAUAUAAAACUUGAGAUAUCAACUAUUCCUUGGGUCAUUGACUGAUGCUCAUUCUUGAACUUAUGAUUUGUAUUUCAUCCAAAAUGCCUGUUGGCUCUUCUUGGGGCAUUUCAUUUGUUGGUGUUCCGCCCCUCUUGGGCAAAUACUAAAAGAUAUAUAUAUGGGACUCUUUUGUAUUAUUGCUU